CACGUAGGCGGAUAUUUAAGUCAGGGGUGAAAUCCCAGAGCUCAACUCUGGAACUGCCUUUGAUACUGGGUAUCUUGAGUAUGGAAGAGGUAAGUGGAAUUCCGAGUGUAGAGGUGAAAUUCGUAGAUAUUCGGAGGAACACCAGUGGCGAAGGCGGCUUACUGGUCCAUUACUGACGCUGAGGUGCGAAAGCGUGGGGAGCAAAUA
rnacentral:rRNA from 1 species